rnacentral:rRNA from 1 species
GAUGAACGCUGGCGGCGUGCCUAAUACAUGCAAGUCGAGCGAACAGACGAGGAGCUUGCUCCUCUGACGUUAGCGGCGGACGGGAGAGUAACACGUGGAUAACCUACCUAUAUGACUGGGAUAACUUCGGGAAUCCGGAGCUAAUACCGGAUAAUAUAUUGCACCGCAUGGGUCAAUAGAGAAAGACGGCUGUGCGGUAUCUUAUAGAUGGAUCCGCGCCGCAUGGGAUAGUUGGUAAGGUAACGGCCUACUAAGGCGAGGAUGCGUAGCCGACCUGCGUGGGGGGUAGGCCACCCUGGAACUUGGACACCGUCCAUACGCCUACGAUAGGCAGCAGUAUGGAAUCUUCCGCAAAGGUCGAAAGCCUUGCGGAGCAGCGCCGCGUGUGUGAUGAAGGUCUUCGGAUCGUAAUACUCUGUUAUUAGUGAAAAACAAAUGUGUAAGUAACUAUGCCCGUCUUGACGGUACCUGGUCAGAAAGCCACGGCUAACUACGUG